rnacentral:rRNA from 1 species
ACAGAGGUCCCAAGCGUUGUUCGGAUUCACUGGGCGUAAAGGGCUCGUAGGUGGCCAACUAAGUCAGACGUGAAAUCCCUCGGCUUAACCGGGGAACUGCGUCUGAUACUGGAUGGCUUGAGAUUGGGAGAGGGAUGCGGAAUUCCAGGUGUAGCGGUGAAAUGCGUAGAUAUCUGGAGGAACACCGGUGGCGAAGGCGGCAUCCUGGACCAACACUGACACUGAGGAGCGAAAGCCAGGGGAGCAAACGGG